ACACGUAUGAAAGUCAAGCUGAAAGACUUUACUCAAUGAUGUAAGUGGUGGUGCAUGGUCGUUCGUGGUUCGUGGAUUGAUUUGUCUGGUUUAUUCCGAUAACGAGCGAGACCCUAACGUUCCUAAUAGGGGGCCAUUAGCCCGAUCGGUCGAAAGGCUGGUCAGCUUUGGCUUAAUAUAAACUUCUUAGACGUAUCAGAGCCGAUAAGGUUCUUGAAAUGGGUUAAUAACAGGUCAGUCAUGCCCUUAGAUGUUCUGGGCCGCACGCGCGUUACAAUGGCACGUAAAGCGAGCGCUCAUCAAUAGGCUUUACCUGGGUCGAAAGGCCCUAGGUAAUCCAUAAACCCUGCCUUGACUGGGCUAGGUUGUUGUAACUAUCAGUCUUAAACGAGGAAUUUUUAGUAAUAGCCAGGUCAUUAACCUGCGCUGA
rnacentral:rRNA from 1 species